GACGAACGCUGGCGGCGUGCUUAACACAUGCAAGUCGAACGGAAAGGCCCUUCUUUUGUGGGGUGCUCGAGUGGCGAACGGGUGAUUAACACGUGAGUAACCUGCCCUUGACUUUGGGAUAACUUCAGGAAACUUGGGCUAAUACCGGAUAUGAGCUCCUGCUGCAUGGUGGGGGUUGGAAAGUUUCUGCGGUUGGGGAUGGACUCGCGGCUUAUCAGCUUGUUGGUGGGGUAUUGGCUUACCAAGGCUUUGACGGGUAGCCGGCCUGAGAGGGUGACCGGCCACAUGGGGACUGAGAUACGGCCCAGACUCCUACGGGAGGCAGCAGUGGGGAAUAUGGCACAAUGGGCGGAAGCGUGAUGCAGAAACGCCGGGGGCGGGAUGACGGCCUGCGGGUUGUGAACCGCUUUCGCCUGUGACGAAGCGUGAGUGACGGUAAUGGGUAAAGAAGCACCGGCUAACUACGUG
rnacentral:rRNA from 1 species